rnacentral:rRNA from 1 species
AUUGAACGCUGGCGGCAGGCCUAACACAUGCAAGUCGAGCGGAUCGGCUGACGGGUGAGUAAUGCCUAUGACUCUGCCUGGUCGUGGGGGAUAACGUCCGGAACCGGGCGCUAAUACCGCAUACUAUCGUAUGAGCCUAGGUCGGAUUAGCUAGUUGGUGGGGUAAAGGCAUACCAAGGCGACGAUCCGUAACUGGUCUGAGAGGAUGAUCAGUCACACUGGAACUGAGACACGGUCCAGACUCCUACGGGAGGCAGCAGUGGGGAAUAUUGGACAAUGGGCGAAAGCCUGAUCCAGCCAUGCCGCGUGUGUGAAGAAGGUCUUCGGAUUGUAAAGCACUUUAAGUGGGGAGGCGUUACUAGCAGAAGAGGCACCGGCUAACUUCGUGCCAGCAGCCGCGGUAAUAC